GGGUUUAGUGGCGGACGGGUGAGUAACGCGUGAGAAUCUGCCUCUAGGUCGGGGACAACAACUGGAAACGGUUGCUAAUACCCGAUGUGCAGCAAUGUGAAAGAUUUAUUGCCUAGAGAUGAGCUCGCGUCUGAUUAGCUAGUAGGUGUGGUAAUGGCGCACCUAGGCGACGAUCAGUAACUGGUCUGAGAGGAUGACCAGUCACACUGGGACUGAGACACGGCCCAGACUCCUACGGGAGGCAGCAGUGGGGAAUUUUCCGCAAUGGGCGAAAGCCUGACGGAGCAAUACCGCGUGAGGGACGAAGGCUUUUGGGUCGUAAACCUCUUUUCCCUGAGAAGAAGAUCUGACGGUAUCAGGGGAAUCAGCAUCGGCUAACUUCGUGCCAGCAGCCGCGGUAAUACGAGGGAUGCAAGCGUUAUCCGGAAUUAUUGGGCGUAAAGCGUCCGCAGGUGGCUCUGUAAGUCUGUCGUUAAAGAAUGGGGCUCAACCCCAUACAGGCGAUUGGAAACUAC
rnacentral:rRNA from 1 species